rnacentral:lncRNA from 1 species
AAAAUCGAUAAGAUCAAAGUAAUAUUUUACAAAGUUGUCGUAGAUGUGGUAAAUACCAAAGAUAAGAAAGUCUAAGGGUCAAAAUAAAAUUUUAAAAGUUGAGGGCUACUAAAAAUCAUCUUAUAUUUACUAUGGGGAGUAAACACGAAAAUUUAGAAAACAAAAAGCUACAAGUAAUAUUUUAGAAAGUGUUGGGGUUGCAAAAGUUAUUCAUUCAUGACUUUGUAAAUGUUUGACUUUUGUAAAACCCACUUGCAUGUGGUGCUUUAGCCUUUAGACCCAUUUACAUGUUAGAGUGAGAGAGAGACAUGUAAACACCUCUAUAAAUAGUGGGUUCAUACCACUUAUAGAGGUGUGCUUGAGAGAUAUAGAAGUGAGUGUGUAAGUGUGUGUUAAUUAUGUAGUCUAGAUCUAGAUCCUUUUUGUGUAACACCAUAUACAUUCAAUAUAUCUCUUAAACACCCAAAUCACCAUGUUUAAUUGUGCAAGCUUUAAUUCCGCAUGUCAAACCAUGUUCUUUGUCACUACAAUUGGUAUCAGAGCUUGGUUUUCACGAUCAACGUGACUUUUGAAGAACGAUUCUCGGUUUGGCAAUUUUUGUCACAAUUUGGAGCAAUUUUGGUGAGUCUCUCUCUAUGAUCUCUCUUAAUUUCGUUGAAAUCGUGCGUAACGUUUUUGAUUUUUGAUCGUUUUGAUUCAUUGGAUCUAAUUCGUUUCAAACCUCAUUGUUGAUCCAAUCAAUUUUUGUUUAGAUCAAGUCCAAACCAAAAAUAAAAUCGAAAUUUGUUUACAAUUCAUUGUUCAAAUGUCCAAGCCUAAUCAAAAUGUCGAAGUAUACUGUUCGUAUCAUGAUUUAGCCCAAAAAGUGGAUCUUACUGUUCAUGAUUUUUAUUUGAGCCCAAAUCUUAAAUCGGAUGAGAUAAUAUUGAGUCCAUAAACAAAUCUGAUUGAUCCGAUGCCUGUAUCAAUCUGACUUGUACACAAGCUUUACAAGUUGUACCAUUGGAUGUCCUGUUCUUUAUCGUUCCUUCAUAAAUUCAUCGGAUUAACAUCAAUUUCUUUCAUUCUAUCGAUUUCAAUGAGUCACUGUAAUUCAGUCGAAAUUUAUUCACUGAUUGAGUAAUUUUGUCAUAUGCUUAAAGCGGUUGUAAGACUCAAUGUUCUUGACUACCGAUUUCUUUCAAGUCGUUCUUUUUGCGCUUCAAAUGGUUGAACGAUUCGUCUGAUCGUAAAUCGUAUUUUGUUUCCAAGUUCUUGAUUCUUAUUUUCUUCUCAUGAUUCUUAACAAUCGAUGAAUAUUGAUUGAUGAGAUGUACUUGUGAAUCGAUGUAUGAUUUCUUCUAUUGCAAGCCGAUGAUGAUCAAGUGUAUCAAUUGUGUAUGGUGGAUUUUGAUAAAAUUGUUCAAAAUCUUUGCAAUUUUUGUGAAGAACAGUUCGUUAAUCAUAGUUUUGAUCUGAAAUCGGGCAAUAGAAUCAUGAAUUUGGUGUUUGUUGAUCUUUGACUCCGAAAAGUCAAAACUGUGAAAAAGUCAAAAUCGAUGUUCAUUGUCGAUGAUUUCUAUGUAUGGAGACUGUUUGGAUUUGAUGUUCGAUGAGUUGGAGUCGAUCGAUCGAAGCUUUUUGUGUGAUGAUCAAUAAUUUUGAUUUUGGGAAGAAAUCGUUGAUGUACGAAAGCUUUCAGUGUGCUCGAUGAUUGAUAAAGAACAGAUGUAGAAAUUUGAUUUUUGAUUUCGAAAAGUGUUAGAGUCGAUAACUGGAUUCUUUUGGUUUCGUCAAUCGAACGUGUUUGGGGAACUGAGUUGGUUAUUCGAUUGAUGAUAAUUUGGUUUGGAUAUGAUAAUGAACUGGAAUGAAGAUUCGAAUAGUUUGGAUGAAUGUCAAGAAUGAACAGUUGAAGCCAUUCGCAUCUGAUAAAUUGAUGAUGAUGAAAUCGUUUUUUUUUUGUUCAUUUGCUGGGUUCGCAUUUCUGUGAUUGGAGUCGAUGAUUCGCUAUUGAAUAGAUGGUUGAGGAAUGAUUCGUGAAGAAAAAUGCGAAGUAAAGAUGAAUCUGUGAUAAUUUUGGAAUGAACUUGGAAGUAAGACAAGAUGAUUCGCAUUUUGUUAUAAAAUGGUGAAUUCGCAUUUGUGAUCAAAGACAAUUCGCAUUUGGUUACAGAGAACAAAAUUUUGAUUCGCAUUUUGGAAUCAAGUUCGCAUUUGUGUAACUGCAGUGUACAUUUCGCAUUUGGAGUUUUGGAUUGGAAUCAAAAUGCGAAUUCAUCUCAUUAUGAUUCGCAUUUUGGUGAUUGAAAAUGCGAAGUAAAGAAUGUGCGAAGUCUGUGAUUUGGGAAAGCUCUUACAGUAAAAUGCGAAUUGGGGAAGAAACACAAGAGUUUCGCAUUUGGUCCCUGCUCUUUUCAAGAAAUAACAAAAGCUGACCAACUUCGCAAAUUUGAAGAUUAUGCAGAAAUUAUCAAAACGAAUACCUGUAGUUUCGCAUUUUUGACAGUUUGUACCCAACUUCGCAAAUGGGUCAUUUGAAAUUGCAGAAUUUUCAAAUCUGGUCCCUGCAGUUUGUGCGAAUUUACACAUUUUACCCAGUUUCGCAAAUGGGGGUGUGUUUCGCAUAUUUGGCUGUUUUUGGCGCAACGGGUCACUGCAGAAUUUUGAAAUUGACGAUUUCUACCCAUUUUUGAGAAAUUUUGUCAAAGGCGAUCCGUGAACGAAGCUAAAAAUUCAAUAUUUUUUGGAUUUUUCGGAUUGAAGCACAAUGUUUAUGCCACAUGUUAAGGGGGAGUUUUGACAUGAAAAAUUCCGAAUAGAGCACGUUCUUUUUCCAUGGAGUUUUAUAAUCAAAUUUCGAUUAUAAAAAGGGGGAGAAGUUUUAUAUGGAAAUUCGAACUUGAAUUUUUCAUAUUACGCGGAUUUGAAGACCGAAGUGAUCUUGAAGUUUUAAAGCUCACGAGAUGAUGCAAUUGGAAGUUCGGAAGUGAUGUAUUCGAAAUGGGUUUGGUAUUAUUGAAGAUUUUUGGGGUGUGUUUUUAUGCGCAACUUUGGGGUGAUUAUUUGGAAUUAAUCAUUCGUUGCUGCUUGGUUUGUAUGGUCUCACAUCCUAGAGCCCAAAUUGAAGAGUCAUGGAAGAAUUGAAGAUUGAAGAUCAUUUCGACAUGUGUCACCUUUGAGGCUCGAACCGCGUAGUGCUUGAUUUUGGAAGAUUUGAAGUGGGUCAUUCAUUCCUAACUUUGAGGGGGAGAAUGUUGGGGUUGCAAAGUUAUUCAUUCAUGACUUUGUAAAUGUUUGACUUUUGUAAAACCCACUUGCAUGUGGUGCUUUAGCCUUUAGACCCAUUUACAUGUUAGAGUGAGAGAGAGACAUGUAGACACCUCUAUAAAUAGUGGGUUCAUACCACUUGUAGAGGUGUGCUUGAGAGAUGUAGAAGUGAGUGUGUAAGUGUGUGUUAAUUAUGUAGUCUAGAUCUAGAUCCUUUUUGUGUAACACCAUAUACAUUCAAUAUAUCUCUUAAACACCCAAAUCACCAUGUUCAAUUGUGCAAGCUUUAAUUCCGCAUGUCAAACCAUGUUCUUUGUCACUACAGAAAGUUAAAAGUUGAAGGGUGAAAAUGACAUUUUAUAAAGUAGACGAGUGGAAAUUAAUCAAAUAUCUUUCACAAACUAAAAGGGUUGAAGUUGUACCGACACUUCAAAUUAGGAUAUGUAAUGUGGCCAAAUCUAUGCAAAACAAAUAAAUAAAUAAAUAAAACUUUGCUUUUAGGUGUUGUUUAGUUUGCUGGAAUCCUUUGGAAUU